UUCACCCACAGCAACCAUGACUCUGAUCAGGAUCUUCAUCUGCACACUGGUCCUCUGGACUCAAGGAUCCAGAGGUCAGGUAAUUGUGACUCAGACUCCGUCAGAGCAAACUGUUCCUCUAGGAAACACAGUCACCAUCAACUGUAGAACCAAUCUCCAAGUGUACAAUGGUAAUUACCUACACUGGUAUCUGCAGAAAACUGGAGAAGCUCCUAAACUUCUGAUCCAUCACGCUACUACCUUACACUCAGGAAUUCCAGAUCGUUUUAAAGGUAGUGGAGCUGACACUGACUUCACUCUGACCAUCAGUGGAGUCCAGGCUGAUGAUGCAGGAGAUUAUUACUGUCUUAGUGACCUCCAGAUCAGUGACAGUCAUGCUUGGAUCUUGGCAAGUCUAUCAGGAAUCUCUUAAUGGUUUAAAAAUCUAAAUCCCAGCAAGACUGAGCUGUCCACACAAUGGAUACACCUCGUCACCUCUUUCCUACAUAGAUGUUUUAUUUGAAGAAGAAUGAAUCUCAUGUACUCCACAUGGCUUGGCACAAACUGAAAACCUAACAAUGGCUUUCUCUCAACAAUGGCUUUCUUUGUGCCACUCUUCCAUAAAGGCCAGAUUUGUGGAGUGCACAACAAGUAGUGGAUAGAUUCUUCCACAUGAGCUGUGGAUUUCUGCAGCUCCUCCAGAGUUUACAUGGGCCUCUUGGCUGCUUCUCUGAUCAAUGCUGUCCUUUCCCAGCCUGUCAGUUUAGGUGGACGGCCAUGUCUUGGUUGGUUUGCAGUUGUGCCAUGUUCUUUACAUUUUA